GAUGAACGCUAGCUACAGGCUUAACACAUGCAAGUCGAGGGGUAACGAGAGGAAAGCUUGCUUUCCUUGUCGACGACCGGCGCACGGGUGAGUAACGCGUAUCCAACCUGCCCCCAACUAGGGAAUAACCUUGCGAAAGUAAGACUAAUACCCUAUAAUUUCCUCAGAUGUCAUCUGACGAGGAAUAAAGAUUUAUCGGUUGUGGAUGGGGAUGCGUCUGAUUAGCUUGUUGGCGGGGUAACGGCCCACCAAGGCAACGAUCAGUAGGGGUUCUGAGAGGAAGGUCCCCCCCAUUGGAACUGGGACACGGUCCAAACUCGUACGGGAGACAGCUGUGAGGAAUAUUGGUCAAUGGGCGGAAGCCUGAACCAGCCAGGUGGCGUGAAGGAUGACGGCCCUAUGGGUUGUAAACUGCUUUUAUACAGGAAUAAAGUUAGCCACGUGUGGUUAUUUGUAGGUACUGUAUGAAUAAGGACCGGCUAAUUCCGUGCCAGCCGCCGCCGUA
rnacentral:rRNA from 1 species